CCUACGGGAGGCAGCAGUGGGGAAUAUUGCGCAAUGGGCGAAAGCCUGACGCAGCGACGCCGCGUGAGGGAUGAAGGUCUUCGGAUCGUAAACCUCUGUCAGCAGGGAAGAACGGUCACUGUGCUAAUCAGCAGUGAAUUGACGGUACCUGCACAGGAAGCACCGGCUAACUCCGUGCCAGCAGCCGCGGUAAUACGGAGGGUGCGAGCGUUAAUCGGAAUUACUGGGCGUAAAGCGCUCGUAGGCGGCAUGUCAAGUCAAGGGUGAAAUCCCCGCGCUCAACGUGGGAACUGCUUUUGAAACUGGGAGACUGGAGUGUGUGAGAGGAUAGUGGAAUUCCAGGUGUAGGAGUGAAAUCCGUAGAUAUCAGGAGGAACAUCAGUGGCGAAGGCGACUAGCUGACACAUAACUGACGCUGAGGAGCGAAAGCGUGGGUAGCAAACAGGAUUAGAUACCCUGGUAGUC
rnacentral:rRNA from 1 species